GUAGCAAAUCACUGGUUACGAUAUCUACUCUCUUAUGUAACUGAACCUAAACUUUGGAGCAUUACAUGACUCAGAAACUUGUGUGGCUUAUUGCAAAUGGAUAAAACUACAUAUUACCUUUAUGAAGAUGAUAAUCUUUAUUAGGGUGCAGAAAAAGAAAACAGAGGAGAGUUGUUGUUGUUGUUUGUAUUCCAGCUGUGGUAAACAAAGAAGUUUCCAGAAUGUUUUUGACUACAGAGAGUGAUGCAGUAUUGACUCUAAUGCUGAUUGGAGUUGUCUGAUCCUGUAUUUUUGUUCUUUGUCUUUUGUUACACAGAGUGAACAGAUCUUUGGUUUUGCCUUUGCUGGUGACCUGCUCCAGAAGAUCCUCUCUCUCUAUCAUUAUAAGCAAUUCUGUCUAUCCUAUCACUCUCCCGACUCUAUCUAAUUUGACAGCCAUUCUAUCUUGUAUCCCUCUAUCCUCUACUGCUCUAUCUAAUUUGACAGCCAUUCUAUCUUGUAUCCCUCUAUACUCUACUGCUCUAUCUAAUUUGACAGCCAUUCUAUCUUGUAUCCCUCUAUCCUCUACUGCUCUAUCUAAUUUGACAGCCAUUCUAUCUUGUAUCCCUCUAUCUCUACUGCUCUAUCUAAUUUGAGAAUCCAAGUUUUCAGAAAUCCAAGUUUUCAGAAUCCAAGUUUUCAGAAAUCCAAGUUACCAGUACUUGAUCUAUCUGUUACAGAAUUCUGAGAGAUCUCUGCUCUCACUGCUCCUUCUUUCCUGUCAUUAAGCUCUCUCACAUUCAGUCAUUUUGCUGGAAAUUACAAGUUGAAUAUACAGUAGUAGAAUUACAGUACAGUAGAACUUAUAGUAGAACCUACUUACACAGCCCUACAUUAGUCAUUUUAAUUUUGCAUUAGACUUUGGAAUUAACACUGCUAGUUUGGCUUACUUUGAUACAUUGUAUAAAAUAUCACCUUUUUAUAAGUUUAUUUGUAAUAAGAUAAUCUGGUUCUUUUGUAAUACAUACAUUCAGAUAAAUAAUAAAUUAGAUCCAAAUACA